UGGCCUAUCGAUCCUUUAGA
rnacentral:snRNA from 1 species